GAAAUGCGAUAAGUAAUGUGAAUGGCAGAAUCCAGUGAAUCAUCGAAGCUUUGAACGCACCUAGCACUCUCUGGUAUUCCGGAGAGUACGCCUUUUUGAGUGUCCUGAAACUCUCACUCCCUACCUUUUCUUAAUUGAGAAGGAAGGGACGUGGACUUGGACUCUGCUGGUCUUUUACGAUCGGCUUGUCUGAAAUGAAUUAGCUGGAUCCUCUUUGUAAUUGGUUCUACUCGACGUGAUAAGUAUUUCGUCGAGGACAGUCUUAACGGACUGGCCGAGAGAAGAAGAGUCUUUUAGAUCCGCUUCUAAUCCGUACGACUUUGGUGUACACUUUUUAUGAUCUGGCCUCAAAUCAGGUGGGACUACCCGCUCAACUUAA
rnacentral:misc_RNA from 1 species